rnacentral:rRNA from 1 species
CCUACGGGAGGCAGCAGUGAGGAAUAUUGGUCAAUGGGCGGAAGCCUGAACCAGCCAAGUAGCGUGCGGGAUGAAGGCCCUACGGGUCGUAAACCGCUUUUGCACGGGGAUAACACCCUCCACGUGUGGUGGUCUGCAGGUACCGCUCGAAUAAGGGCCGGCUAAUUCCGUGCCAGCAGCCGCGGUAAUACGGAAGGCCCGAGCGUUAUCCGGAUUUAUUGGGUUUAAAGGGAGCGUAGGCGGGCGUUCAAGUGUGCUGUAAAAUCGCGCGGCUCAACCGCGCCCCUCAGUGGAAACUGGACGCCUUGAGUGCACAACAGGCAGGCGGAAUUCGUGGUGUAGCGGUGAAAUGCAUAGAUAUCACGAGGAACCCCGAUUGCGAAGGCAGCCUGCCGGGGUGCGACUGACGCUGAGGCUCGAAGGUGCGGGUAUCAAACAGGAUUAGAUACCCUUGUAGUC